rnacentral:rRNA from 1 species
AACAGGAUUAGAUACCCUGGUAGUCCACGCUGUAAACGAUGUCGAUUUGGAGGUUGUGCCCUUGAGGCGUGGCUUCCGGAGCUAACGCGUUAAAUCGACCGCCUGGGGAGUACGGCCGCAAGGUUAAAACUCAAAUGAAUUGACGGGGGCCCGCACAAGCGGUGGAGCAUGUGGUUUAAUUCGAUGCAACGCGAAGAACCUUACCUACUCUUGACAUCCAGAGAACUUUCCAGAGAUGGAUUGGUGCCUUCGGGAACUCUGAGACAGGUGCUGCAUGGCUGUCGUCAGCUCGUGUUGUGAAAUGUUGGGUUAAGUCCCGCAACGAGCGCAACCCUUAUCCUUUGUUGCCAGCGGUUCGGCCGGGAACUCAAAGGAGACUGCCAGUGAUAAACUGGAGGAAGGUGGGGAUGACGUCAAGUCAUCAUGGCCCUUACGAGUAGGGCUACACACGUGCUACAAUGGCGUAUACAAAGAGAAGCGACCUCGCGAAAGCAAGCGGACCUCAUAAAGUACGUCGUAGUCCGGAUUGGAGUCUGCAACUCGACUCCAUGAAGUCGGAAUCGCUAGUAAUCGUAGAUCAGAAUGCUACGGUGAAUACGUUCCCGGGCCUUGUACACACCGCCCGUCACACCAUGGGAGUGGGUUGCAAAAGAAGUAGGUAGCUUAACCUUCGGGAGGGCGCUUACCACUUUGUGAUUCAUGACUGGGGUGAAGUCGUAACAAGGUAACCGUAGGGGAACCUGCGGCUGGAUCACCUCCUU